GCGGAGGAAAAGAAACCAACAGGGAUUGCCUCAGUAACGGCGAGUGAAGCGGCAAAAGCUCAAAUUUUAAAGCUGGCAUCUUCGGUGUCCGCGUUGUAAUUUUGUGAGGCAUCUCCGGGUAGGGCGCCGGCCUAAGUUCCUUGGAACAGGACGUCACAGAGGGUGAGAAUCCCGUGCUUGGCUGGCUGUCCCCGUCCAUGUGAGGUGUCUUCGACGAGUCGAGUUGUUUGGGAAUGCAGCUCAAAAUGGGUGGUAAAUUUCAUCUAAAGCUAAAUAUUGGUGGGAGACCGAUAGCGCACAAGUAGAGUGAUCGAAAGAUGAAAAGCACUUUGAAAAUAGAGUUAAAAAGUACGUGAAAUUGUUGAAAGGGAAGCGCUUGAGACCAGACUUCGGUAGGGGGUGAUCAGCCGUCCUUCUGGGCGGUGCACUUGCCCCCCUCCGGGCCAGCAUCGGUUGAGGCGGCGGGAUAAAGGUCCCGGGAAUGUGGCUCCUUCACGGGAGUGUUAUAGCCCGGGUGAAUGCCGCCAGCCUCGACCGAGGACCGCACCCGCAAGGGUUAGGAUGCUUGGCAUAAUGGUCUUCAGCGACCCGUCU
rnacentral:rRNA from 1 species